GUUAAAUGCUGUCGGCAGUGAUAAAUAGGCAGGCAGCAAGUGGCUGCGCUGCUUCCCUGUGUUUUUCUCCGAGAACCUGCAGCAGAUUGCCUAUAAUUGCUCAUUGCUCUCCAUUAGUGUAUCUCCCUCCUGGCAACUCUUUAAUAGUUUACAUCUCUUGGGGCUGAAAAUUACUAUUUUAAUUAAAACAAUUUGUUUCAAAUGGGGCUCCCAAAUCCCCACACGAUGUUUUAGGAGCCUUGGGCAAAGAACAGAAAACGGAGAGGAGCAAUUGUUUUUAGGGCUAAGAGUAAAGCUGAAUGUAGGAGUUUGGGAUUCUCAAUCAAUUUCUGAGGCCCAACCUCACAGACUGUGAGAAGCAAUGAUUUUCUGGAGAAGAAAAAGAAAGUGCCAAGAAAAGGAGCUUUGGGCGCUUAAAUGCUACAACAACGCACUUUGGAAGUGUGAGGGAGCAGCCAGAGCCAUGCAAGUGCUGUUUGCUCUUCCUGCACGUACCGAGCUGGAGGCUCCCAGUCCCUGUGCCACUUCUCAGUUCCUGAGGGUUUCGCAUCUGCUGCCAGCUGUGCCCAGGGCUCCUGCUGUGUGCUGGAGCAAGUCCUUCGUCAGGCAUCGAGGGGAAGGACUUGGGAAGUUUCCAUGUCUGGGGCUGAGCCCCGAUGCCUGCUGUGCUGGAUUCACCAUACACCAGCAGCACAACGAUCAUCCACUUCAUUCCAAGCACCUGCCUGCCUGCCAAACAUCCUUGCUCUGCUCUGAUGGCAGCCUCUGUGAUAGUUCCUGGGAAGCUGGUGCUCGCACGUGUGCCAGGGACUGGCUGGUGACUGCAAACAGAAUUCCCGUCUGGACCAACCCCCUGAAGAGCUGGGUCUGCUGCAGCUCCAGCUGCACAGUGGCUACAUCAAAGUCCAGAGAAGGAAGGCUGCCCUUGUGGUUGGUGGCUAAUGUUUAUGUUGGCACCGUUAUUCUGUUUGAAGACACAUGAAUUUUAGGAGAGUAAUUUCAAACUGAGUGCUUCCUGUAUGAGAUGGGACAUUGUCAGGAAGAUGUGACUUCAUAAGAGAUGCUGACGCUCCCUCCCUUCAGCCACCCUCCAUGAAGAGGUCCUCUUGUGACCAAGAUAUCUUUUCUGUAGUGAUCCACACCUUACAACUUUUGCACCAGUACAUAGAACUGGGAACCUUUUUCUGAAGUUCUUGUACCUCAAACGUGUAGAAUAUUGCUGAUUUCUGCACGGAUUUGUUUAGGUCCAGCAAGACCACUGAACUGCAUGUUUGCUAACUUACCAACUGUCUUUAAUUCACCAUUUGAGGAAAUUUAUGAUAAGAAUAGUGGUAGAAAAUAGUAUAAUAAUAUAAGCAAGCA
rnacentral:lncRNA from 1 species